rnacentral:tRNA from 1 species
ACCGCGAUAACUCAAUUGGUAGAGCAUCUGCCCGGUAUGCGGAGGGACGCCGGUUCGACUCCGGCUUGCGGCG